GAAAGGNCAAGAGANGCGGGGCCCCCCCUGAAACNAAGCGCCCUCUAACAAACAACGGAUGACAAAAUCUCAACCCGACAUGUAGUAAACAAGCCCGCCCUAAACCAGGGCCC
rnacentral:rRNA from 1 species